GCUGCUUAAAUGCGGACGGUUAUAGCAUCGCAACUUGGCUUCGUCCAUAAUCACAGAACUCGCCGAACUCUGUUCUGAGAGAUCCGAUGUUUUCGUUUGAUGCCAUUUUGAGUCUUCAGUGGACCGGAAGCUUCGGUGGACGUUUAGCCCGCCGGGCCGUCCUCAGGUGAAACCAGCUUCUCACGUCGCUCUGAAUGCAUUGUGUCCAUAUUCAAUGGGAUCACUGUGGAGACGGCAGGGUCCCUGUUUCCAGCCGGCUGGCCACACCGGUUUGCGCUCCAGGUUUCACCAGUCGCGUCAGACGCAGACCUGCGGAGGUCGAAGUCACUGUAUGGAGAUACGAGGCAAAAUAUGGCUCUAAGAGUCAGUUUGUGUGUUGUAAAAAAUAAAAAAAACAGUGGUUGAAUGUACAUUCACUCAAAUACUGUCCUGAAGCACAGUUUUGAGGUGCUUAUUCUUUACUUGAGUAUUUCCAUUUUCUGGUACUUUAUACUUAUACCCAA